rnacentral:rRNA from 1 species
GACGAACCACACAAACGUUAUUCGGAAUUACUGGGCUUAAAGGGUGCGUAGGCGGCGCGGAAAGUUGGGUGUGAAAUCCCUCGGCUCAACCGAGGAACUGCGCUCAAUACUACCGUGCUCGAGGGAGACAGAGAUGAGCGGAACUUAGGGUGGAGCGGUGAAAUGCGUUGAUAUCCUAAGGAACACCCGUGGCGAAAGCGGCUCACUGGGUCUCUUCUGACGCUGAGGCACGAAAGCUAGGGUAGCGAACGGG